UACGUAGGGGGCUAGCGUUGUCCGGAAUCAUUGGGCGUAAAGAGCGUGUAGGCGGCUUGGUAAGUCCGCUGUGAAAGUCCAGGGCUCAACCCUGGAAAGCCAGUGGAAACUGUCAAGCUAGAGUCCGGAAGAGGCGAGUGGAACUCCUGGUGUAGCGGUGAAAUGCGCAGAUAUCAGGAAGAACACCAAUGGCGAAGGCAGGUCUCUGGGCCACUACUGACUGAGAAGCGAAAGCAUGGGGAGCGAACAGG
rnacentral:rRNA from 1 species